AGAACGAACGCUGGCGGCAUGCCUAACACAUGCAAGUCGAACGAAGCCUUCGGGCUUAGUGGCGCACGGGUGCGUAACACGUGGGAAUCUGCCCUUAGGUACGGAAUAACUCAGGGAAACUUGAGCUAAUACCGUAUGAUGUCUUCGGACCAAAGAUUUAUCGCCUAAGGAUGAGCCCGCGUCGGAUUAGCUAGUUGGUGGGGUAAAGCCUACCAAGGCGACGAUCCGUAGCUGGUCUGAGAGGAUGAUCAGCCACACUGGGACUGAGACACGGCCCAGACUCCUACGGGAGGCAGCAGUGGGGAAUAUUGGACAAUGGGCGAAAGCCUGAUCCAGCAAUGCCGCGUGAGUGAAGAAGGCCUUCGGUUGUAAAGUACUCUUUACCCGGGUAAAGGACUAAUGACUGUACGGAGAAGUAAGACCCGGCCUAACUCCGUGCCACGCAGCCGC
rnacentral:rRNA from 1 species